AAGUUUUACACAGCUAAAACAGCUUGGGGUCAAAUUGACCCCAGAGGAACACCAAUGGGUGCAAUAUGUGUUCAGCACAUUGAAAAAAUAUUACCAUGAUAAUUUUAUGCUUAAUCAGUUAUCCCCAUCAAAUUAAGAAAAGUGAUGAAAUAUGAGGCAAAAAAAGAGUCAACUAUUAUUUUUUGAAUGAUAAACAUGGAAUGGGAUCAAAUUGACCUCAAGGAUAAUACAAGGGUUAAACAUAAUGAUUUAUAUU